UCUUUCUCUCUCCAAACCCUACCCCGCACCCGCCUCCCUGCCUUGCCGCCGCCGCCGCCGCUCGCCCGGGCACCCAUCCCCAGCCUCACGCCGCCCAUCUAGAGAGAUGGGGGCCGCGCGCGACGAGGCCGGCGUGCCGUCGUCUCGCGGCGGCUGAGCCGCCGGAGGGGAAGAAGAGGAAGCGGAAGGCCGCCAGCGCGCUGGUGGUGUCCGAGAAGAAGAGCAGGAAGCUGCCCUUCACCCCCAGCAAGGACCCCGUCCGGCGCCUCACGCAGAUGGCCUCGCUCGCCACGGUGCUCACGGCCACCAGCGCCGUCUUCAGAACUCAAAUCCUUCAGCUCCGAGGACGCAGCGGCGCAUCUGCAAAGGUAUGGGCCCAACAAGCUAGAGCGGUCCGAGCGUCCAAUCUCAACCAUCACCCAGAACCCUAGCCCCUCCCCCCUCCCCAUGGAGCAGGAUGACCUCCAAGAGGAGCGUCUGAUGCGGAGGCCAUGGAGUAGCUGCUUGGUUCAAGGGCAUGCCUUGGCUGCUCCCUAUGUUGAGCACUUUGACGGGCCAGAUUCAGCGCUGGGAUGACUUGUGGCUGCCUUCUACUCCCCCUCCUCUCUCUCUACACCACUCAAAUCUGAGUUGGAUUCACCUUGCAACUAUACAGGUACAUGAUUGUGAUAUAAUAUUGCACGGAAGAAAAGCCACCGUUGCUUUUACAGCUUUAGGAGGUCAUGCAAGAUCGAUUUGCACUGUUCUCAUGUAUGAUCUUCAUAUUAUUCUAUUCUGAAGUAUUGGUCUAUUAUCAAGGAAGCUUUGGGCGGAGGAGUUGAGUGCAGUUUUUAUAUCUUUCUUCAAAGUCAUAAAUGGAAAGGAUUGCUGUCAGGAUGAGUGUGCAUAGGAACGUUCUCUGUUGAAGCAUCGCUUUCUUCGCCGAGAAGCUCUCUAACGGCGACAAUGGCCAUGGUGGCUCUCUGGUGCCAUGCAUGGAGAUCCAUGAUUGCGACGGUGCAGAGAUCUAUGUGAAGACCGUCGGGCUGAUGUACUGCAACGAGGCAAAGCAGAAGCUGCUCAAGCAGCUUGUGUCACGAGUGCUUCGCGUCAUGAAGAUACUGCCGAGGGAGCGGCUGAUGGAGGCGGUCUGCAAAUGGCAUGCAAGUCAAGGAGGUCCAUCGCAAGCGGCCGAUGAUGGGCUCACCGUGGAUGAGAUCUCCGGUGGAAAGAUGCAUCCAGGCCCGGCCGCCUCUCCACCAUGACGUGCCAGCCAGUUCUCUCUUGCCCCUCCUUCUACACCGGAUCGCUGUCUCACCCACCAGUAAGGCUCUCUCCACUCCCUGAUCUCUAUUCUUUCCAUCGUCUUAGCUUACAGGGCCUGGUUUGGUACUGGCCAGGAGGUGGCGAGGUACUAGAUCCGCUAUCAUCAUAGUUCCAAUUGUAAAACAGAAUACAUCCAGAGCUGACCGAGAUAGACCAGCAACCAUUACCAUCGACAAUGCCUUUUCAGGUUUUCCCUUGUAUUAAACUGCAGGUUACGCUCGCUAUUGGUUCGGUGUCCAAACAGUUUCAAGUCAGAUUUAGUAGUAUAAUUAGGUGACAGAAGAAAUUAGACAAAGGCCGGUUUGAUCCAUACACAUAUGGACUGACAACGACAACCAAAUCUCUAGAUAGGAAAAAAUAGCUAAACAUGGUUAUAAAGUUUUGGCUGUUUUUGGACUGAAGAAAUAUGACGUCUGCUGUAGCUCUAAAUGCUUACUGUUCUCUUUCCUUGGCAAUGUUUGUGCCUUCUGAGAAUAGGUCUAUUGUCAAGUGAUAUCAUGCAACAUGGAUUUAGAACGAAGAGUAAGAUAUGUUUCCCUACAACGACUACUGGAUCGAUAGUACGAAAUAAAUAGCUUGAAUGGAUUUAGUAUGAAGAACAAAAUAAGAUAUGGAAAUUCUAAAGCUACCCUUCUUGUGGAUCGAUUGAUAAAUCCAUGUAGCAUUUUGAUAAAGAGUUAAAUCUGUGAGUACUCUAAAUCUGUAUACGUUGUUUGAGUGCCGUUUAAUUAAGAUACUAGACUAUGUUGGUACACAUAUAUUUGGAUGCUUGUGAUUGGCUGGAAAGAACAGAAACUUAGAUUUGUUGUUGGACUGAACUGACUAGUCAUAGCCUUCUGGCUGAUGCUUCAGUAUACCAAAACACUUGCUAUUUUUCAUGUUCUUGUACCAGAUGGGUUUUGGACACAAACAAUUAUUUGUUUUAUCUACGAAAACUUUUUCUUCAAUAUUACAGUAUGUUGAAUGCCUUUCGUGCUUAGUUGAAAUAUAAGUACUGCUUGUAUGUGAUUUCAAUCCAGCUUGACCAAUUUUCUUUGCUCUGCUUUUUCCCUCCCUCUCCACUGAAUAUGAGCAUGUUCAAAAUAAAAUGUGCAUUACCACUUAUGAGAGUAACUAAUAUUUCAUUUUUGUUGGGACUGUUCUUUCUAGGUGUGUAUUCCUUCUCUGAAUGUUUAUUACCAUGGAACUCGAGUAUCCAGUCUGUACAGCUGUAUACCUCAUUUUAAGAAAAAAAAAACUUGAGUGUCCAUCAUACAUGAAUGAGUACAUCUAUAAAGUAAAUUGACCACAAUGAGACAUCAGUUUUGUUUACCUUUGAAUAUAAUGAGCACAUGUUGAAGGUUUGCUCAUCCCACUUCUCUAUAGCCCGUAUGAGCUUUAGUCGGAGCACUGUGUGUCGAUGAUACAUAUAUUUUCAACUACCUAAGGUCACUUAGUUCUGUGUAAAGUAGAUUGCACUUGGUACAAUUGUUGAUGGAUUGACUUGCUUUCAUUUUUGGAGCCUUAAGCACCUAAUUUAGUUUUGAGUUCUACUCCUCUCAUUUAGACUGCAGGGUAAAUCAUUGCAUUGGAAACUACAAGUGAAAUGGAAGGUAAGAAUCUCAUUUUGGCAUCCACUAUGGAUACAUGUGGAGAUAGAGAAAGGUAGAUUGAUCAAAAGACUUGCAAAAAUCAAAGAGGAGUAGGGAGAGAUCAAUGAGGUAAGAAUCUCAUUUUGGCAUCCACUAUGGAUACAUUACUUCUUGAUCACAUCGUUCUGACCGGCACCCCCGCGUCAAGGCGCGAUCCCGAUCUAUAUCAUGGAAAAUAUUUCCUGGAAUGCCUCUAGGUACCUCCAUCUCUGCUCCCUCCCUACCCUCUCCAUUCUAUCCCCAUAUAUAUAUAAAGGUUCCAAGUGUAGUAAUCUGGCGUGACACGUACAUAAUCAGAGGAUGGGUCUAGGUUUAAUGCUCUAUUUUCUACUCACAACCAGUAGAUGAGAAACCAUGUAGAAGAUGUGGCAUUGAUUUAGUAGAUUUAAAGAUCAAGUUCUUUCUGGAAUUUUAAUUUGAGGAUUAACGCGGUUGAGUUGGUUAAUUAUCGUACUUGCAUCUCGCCUCCAUGCACAUAAUUUUAAUGGGGUUAGUAUGCUUUGUACAGACCCAAGAACAAUUCCUUAUAACGCUCACCAUUUGUGCACUUCGUUUGGUCUUGGACAAAGGGUAUGUGGAAGACUGGAUUUGAUAUUAUCCUGAAAUGGCAACUAUUGGCGUGCAACUGAAGAAUAUAUUUUAUGACUGAGAGAUGGUAUUUGGAGAAUCUUAAUUUUGAUAUGUACAUGAAUCUUCUUUUAUUUUGUUGCGCAACUGAAGAUAUGGGACUAUUUGCUCUGUGUAUCUCUUAUAAAUAAGGAAAUGGACUAUAGGUAAAGAAAUUUAUUUUAAUUAUAUUAUGUUGUAGAUGAUGCAUGGUUUCUGAAUCUUUUUGCUUUGUACUGAACUUGAUGCAAACCAGUUGUCUUAUCUGGCACUGCCAAUCUGGCUUUCUGAAACAAAUUUUGUGAUGUGCUUGCAAAAUUAAUUACCCUAUUGACUUAGUAUCCUCAGCUUACCAUGUUUUUAGUAUAUAUCUCUACUGUUUGUGAUUAGUCCUAAAAGAGUGUUGUAAUUUUCUUUGAAUGUACAAGAUUUAUACACGAGUGUUGUAAUUUUCUCUGGAUGUACAAGAUUUAUACACACUGGGUCACGACGCUUGGAUGGGCAACACGCGCCAAGGCGCGCUUCCGUGGUCGUAUGAACGCACUGAGCUUGAUUCUGUAUAAGUGCAAAUACUAUACUGGUUUCCUACUAACAUAGUAUUACGUGCUUCGGCAAAACGCUUUGACCGGCACCCUCGCGCCAGGGCGCGAUCCUGAUCUAGUUUAAAUCAAAGCUUGUGCAUAUGCCAAAGCACCAUUCACAACAUGACACGAUGACCAAAUGAUGACAAAUCUAGAUGGAAAACACAAAGCUGGUAGUAGCAUUCGAAUUCUAACACGCAAGACAUGAGAAAAUAUAGGCAAUAUUUUGCGAAUGUCAGCUAGGAAGCAGAGAAGCAGAUCUCGAGUCUGAGUAUAAUUUCUCAAAAUAUGUUAGUACUGCAGGGUUUCAGAUUUCGAUUCAGACUGACACAUGUUUAAUCGAUAAGAAUCCAAUUUGAUAUAUUUUUCUAUUUCUUUUCUUUCGGCAGCUCAUUUCCUAUAACCAAUCCAACCAAAUCUUGCCCAAUUGGACAAUGAUAUGAGAAGUUUUUUUUUGAAAAGGAGGAUGACCUCCCGCCUCUGCAUCUGCAUCUGGGCGAUGCAUACGACCACUUUAUUAAUUAUUCUCAC